AGACUGGUAAGUUAAUAAAACUGUGGGGUUCAUGUCUCCUUAAUACAUUUAUAUAAUGUCUGGUUGA
rnacentral:tRNA from 1 species